UACGAAGGGUGCUAGCGUUGUUCGGAAUCACUGGGCGUAAAGCGCGCGUAGGCGGCUAUUCAAGUCAGGGGUGAAAUCCUGAGGCUCAACCUCAGAAUUGCCUUUGAAACUGUGUAGCUAGAGUGUCGGAGGGGAUAGCGGAAUUGCUAAUGUAGAGGUGAAAUUCGUAGAUAUUCGCAAGAACACCAGUGGCGAAGGCGGCUCACUGGCCCGAUACUGACGCUGAGGCACGAAAGCGUGGGGAGCAAACAGG
rnacentral:rRNA from 1 species